AGGAAGUCUCUCCCAGAGGUAUUAGACUACAGUGUGUUGUGGGUCCAGACAGUAUCAGGAGAGUCUGACAGUCAGACAGGUGUUCCUCCUCCUCUGGCCUGUCUGCAGAUCAGAGACUUCCUCAGUGGACCAGCGGAGCUGAACGUGGAGCUGUCCCGGCCCCUGAAGGUGAACCCUACGCUGGUGAAACUGGAGCAGACCAAGGCCUACCUGAAGAGGGUUCUACCUCAUCACUAUUGGGAGUCUCCCAAACCCCCUCUACCCCUCAUUCCUCCCCCAGUAGGACCUCAUCCUCCUCUCCCCAUCGUCCCGACCCCUCCCACCUCAGCUCCCUAAGAUCCCUGGCACCCUUCCACAAGGUGUCCCUCCGCACCGCCCAGAUCGUGGUUGUCAUGGAGACCGAGUCGCACCCUGCCCGGCCCAGCCUGACCUGGUCGGUGUCGGCUAUGAAGGGUACCAUGAACAUGAAGACUGGGCCCAAGUUAGACGACCCGGUCCAGUCAGUCUCAGUGCUGUUGGAGCUGCAGGAUAUCCUGUUGAGGACGGGUCUGAAGGAUCGGAGCCGUCUGCUGCUGGGGCCUUUCUCCUGUAGCGCCCC